GACUCAGAAAGCAGGCCUGGAGCCUGGGCUCAAAUCUACAUCUUGACUAUGAGAGAACUGACAAGAGUGACUGUGCUCCUGGUCUUGGGCACUGUGAGCCUUGCGAGGACCACCCAGACAACCUCUACGGAGGCAUUUGAAGGACAAAAUGUGAACAUUUCCUGUAGCCACCCUGACAUUGCCACAAAUGAGUAUAUCUUCUGGUAUCAGCAAUUUCCCAACCAGGGACCACAGUUUCUUAUUCAAGCAUAUAAGGUAGAAGUGGAACAUGAAGCGACAUCUCUGUUCAUUGCUGCCGACAGAAAGUCUAGCACCCUGGGCCUGUCCCGACUUUCCCUGAAGGACACCGCUGUGUACUACUGCACUGUGGGUGGCACACAGUGAUGCACAGUGGUUUGUACCUGUGCAGUAUCCUUCCUGUGGUGGGCCAGGGCUCACAGCCUGGAAGAAACCUAAAAGCAAUGACUUCUA